rnacentral:rRNA from 1 species
AGGCUUAACACAUGCAAGUCGAGCGCCGUAGCAAUACGGAGCGGCAGACGGGUGAGUAACGCGUGGGAAUGUGCCCAAAGGUACGGAACAACCAAGGGAAACUUUGGCUAAUACCGUAUGUGCCCGAGAGGGGAAAGAUUUAUUGCCUUUGGAGCAGCCCGCGUCUGAUUAGCUAGUUGGUGGGGUAACGGCCCACCAAGGCGACGAUCAGUAGCUGGUCUGAGAGGAUGAUCAGCCACACUGGGACUGAGACACGGCCCAG